ACGAAGGGUGCAAGCGUUGUUCGGAUUUACUGGGCGUAAAGAGCGUGUAGGCGGCAUUGUCAGUCAGAUGUGAAAGCCCUCGGCUCAACCGAGGAAGUGCAUCUGAUACUGCAAAGCUUGAGUACCGGAGGGGGUGGCGGAAUUCCUGGUGUAGAGGUGAAAUUCGUAGAUAUCAGGAGGAACACCUGUGGCGAAGGCGGCCACCUGGAAGGUUACUGACGCUGAGACGCGAAAGCGUGGGGAGCAAACAGG
rnacentral:rRNA from 1 species